GACGGGUGAGUAAUGCCUGGGAAAUUGCCCUGAUGUGGGGGAUAACCAUUGGAAACGAUGGCUAAUACCGCAUAAUAGCUUCGGCUCAAAGAGGGGGACCUUCGGGCCUCUCGCGUCAGGAUAUGCCCAGGUGGGAUUAGCUAGUUGGUGAGGUAAGGGCUCACCAAGGCGACGAUCCCUAGCUGGUCUGAGAGGAUGAUCAGCCACACUGGAACUGAGACACGGUCCAGACUCCUACGGGAGGCAGCAGUGGGGAAUAUUGCACAAUGGGCGCAAGCCUGAUGCAGCCAUGCCGCGUGUAUGAAGAAGGCCUUCGGGUUGUAAAGUACUUUCAGCAGUGAGGAAGGGGUGUGCGUUAAUAGCGUGCAUCUUUGACGUUAGCUGCAGAAGAAGCACCGGCUAACUCCGUGCCAGCAGCCGCGGUAAUACGGAGGGUGCGAGCGUUAAUCGGAAUUACUGGGCGUAAAGCGCAUGCAGGUGGUUUGUUAAGUCAGAUGUGAAAGCCCGGGGCUCAACCUCGGAAUUGCAUUUGAAACUGGCAGACUAGAGUACUGUAGAGG
rnacentral:rRNA from 1 species